UUCAAGAAACAUGUUUCUUGAAAUGCAGGAAGUGAAGAAGGAAGAAGAAAUAGAGGAAGAAGAAGAAUAGAAAGAAGACAAAGAUCUCAGAGAAGAAGAAGGAGAAUUGGAGGAAAGAAGAGAGGAAGAGAGAAGAAUAGAAGGAACCUGGUAUUUGGGAAGAGUAAUCUGCCAUAAAUGUUGUCCAUUGAUCUAACAGCUCUGAUACCAGUUUAUUACAUAACAAAAUCUCAGAACACCAUAACAC
rnacentral:misc_RNA from 1 species